AACUGAGAGACAAGCGGAGAAAGAACAAGUACCAUCCUGUUGGGGGUACGGUUUUUACCCAACUCCUCAACUUCAAUAGAUUGCAUCAUUAUAUGACUGAUCUUGCAGGGAAGUAUAGAACCUACAGGCUGCUUAGCCCCUUUCAGGAAUGAGAUUUAUACCUCGGAACCAGCCAACGUUGAAUAUAUACUCAAAACAAACUUCGAGAAUUAUGGCAAGGUAUGUUACCAAUGCUCAUUUCUUACUUCAAAGUCACAAAUUAUUCGUUGCCCUCGAAAAUUUUGAGUUCUUCCGGUGCUUGAUUAGAAGAAUUAGCUUACUUACUAAUUAGACAGAGACACCCAGAUUAAGUCAAUUACGGUUCAUUCAAAUGCUGAUGUGCAGCAGAGUAAUUAGCACUAUAAUGAAAGGGCUUUUUAAUAAUCAUAUGGUUACCAAAAAGGAUGAAUUGUGGUUGUUAUAGUUCUUCAAUUCGCCUAAUUUUCUGUGCAGGGUCAGUAUAAUUACAGCUUGCUAAGGGAUUUAUUAGGUGAUGGAAUUUUUACUGUCGAUGGUGAUAAGUGGCGUCAGCAGAGGAAGAUAUCAAGCUAUGAAUUCUCAACAAAGGUCUUGAGGGAUUUUAGCAGUGUCGUUUUUCGGAAAAAUGUGGCUAAACUUGCAAAUAUAGUGUCCGAGGCAGCAAAUUCAAAUGAGAUAAUGGAUAUUCAAGUAAGUUCACCUAAUGGGAAAGAUCAAUGAUAUGAUAUGUAAAAUGAAUCUGUUAUAACACAAUAUUCUGCAGGAUUUGUUUAUGAAAUCGACUUUAGAUUCAAUAUUCAAAGUUGCAUUUGGAGUUGAACUGGACAGCAUGUGUGGAUCAAAUGUAGAAGGCAAGGAGUUUACAACUGCUUUUGAUGAUUCAAGUGCUGCAAUCCUUUUUCGAUAUGUUGAUAUCUUCUGGAAGAUCAAGAAAUUUCUGAAUAUUGGAUCAGAAGCCACGCUAAUAAAAAGUGUAAAAGUGGUUAAUAAUUUUGUGUAUAAGCUGAUCCAUAACAAGAUUGAGCAAAUGCACAACUCAAAAGAUGAUUCUUCAGUAAGUGAACUAGAGCCACUUAAGCGUUUAUAAGACCAGUUGAAGUAGAAUUUUGAAAUAAUUGUAUUCCAUGGAUCAUGCAGAUAAAAAAGGAAGACAUUUUAUCAAGAUUUCUCCAAGUGAGUGACACUGAUCCAACAUACUUGCGAGAUAUAAUUCUUAACUUCAUAAUUGCUGGCAAAGACACGACUGCAGCUGCUCUGUCAUGGUUUAUAUACAUGCUUUGCGAGCAUCCUGAUGUUCAAGAAAAGAUUGCAAAAGAAGUGAAGGAAGCAACUAACAUGAAGGAGGUUGAAGAUUUUGCUGAAUUUGCCGUUAGCAUGAGCGAAGAAGCUUUAGAAAAAAUGCACUAUCUCCAUGCAGCUAUAACUGAAACUUUAAGGCUCUACCCUGCAGUUCCAGUGGUAAGGAAAGUUGCCUGGAAUCCUGAAUUCUCCCACGGAACUUCUUAAUGCAUGUCUGGAAAGCCAUUCUGUAAACUCAUAAUGCAUAAGAGGACUAGAAAUUAACUUCCUUGCUAUGUUCUGGGGUUUGCUUUGGUUUUCAGUAUCUCUUCACUUCAAUUGCAGGAUGCAAAGAUAUGCUUGUCUGAUGAUACUCUACCAGAUGGGUUCAGUGUGAGAAAGGGGAUAUGGUUUGUUAUCAACCUUAUGCAAUGGGCAGAAUGAAGUUCAUUUGGGGUGAUGAUGCAGAGGAGUUCAGACCAGAGAGAUGGCUUGAUGAGGAUGGCAUGUUCCGACAAGAAAGCCCUUUCAAGUUCACAGCAUUCCAGGUAUGCAAAAUAUGUGUCAGCACUUUAGGAAUUGUUCUAUGCUUCAAGCGCUAUUGUUUUGAUUGACAUUUGGUGUUAAGUAGCACCUCAUAGACAAAAGGGAGAAAGAAAGCAGUUUAACAGCAUUUGAUAUCUGGGUCUUGGCCCUCAAAAUUCAAAGUUCUGAUAUUGCUUCACAAAUGUGAUUUUGCCGGCUGAAGAAGUGAAAAUUCUGAACUUUGUUUUCUAUUGGUUAACAGGCAGGUCCUCGAAUUUGUCUGGGUAAGGAAUUUGCUUAUAGGCAGAUGAAGAUCUUCUCAUCUGUUCUUAUACGCUGCUUUGUGUUCAAAUUGAGUGAUGAGGAUAGAACUGUCACCUACAGGACGAUGAUCAAUCUUCAUGUAGAUGGGGGCCUUCAUGUUCGUGCAUUUCACAGAAGUCAGAGUUAACUGUCUUUGUUGCUUAUUUGACCAAGGGUUUCAUCUUUUGGCUCUGUUCUUUAAUCCAGACACUUGCACGCUUUAAAUAUAUGUGUAUACGCGCGCACACACACACAAGUAUAAAUACUAUGAUGGUUCCUUACCAAGGAAACUUAAACCGUACUUUUGUCUGAAAAAUUUGAGUUCAGGAAACUGCUAAAUGAGUGAAACCUAAGUUGUGGAGACAGCGCUUGAAAAGUUCAUCAAAAUAGACCAUACCAGAAUGACUUGAGUUCAAACUGUUUGCUUGCAUUUCUAGCAGAUUAUUCCAAUGAAUUGAAAAUCGUGAUGAAUGCAAAGCUUUAGGAAAUAGCAAAUCAGUUCUUCUCCCCUGCCUUCUAGCUGGUUCUUCAGCUCCUCUUAACUCUAGAAGUGAGAAAGAUUAAAUUUCCUUGAAUGCAAAACCUAAUCAUCUUAAGAACACUUAUCAGUAGGAAAUGAAUCUCUGAUGUUCUCAAUUCACUUUAAGAAAAAGGUAAAUAACCAUAUGCAUGCUAUGAGUUGAUUAUGGGAUGUCUAUUGUUACAAUUCAACAAAAAUUAAGGACAUAAAUUUUCUUUAACAUUAUUGGUUCGCACUCAACAGCAGGAUGAUCACUCAUUCAAGUGGACACCGUAUAGCUCAGGCAAGCAGAAACAAAUUAACAAUGCCAAUUGAAGCGUACGCUUGAAGUAGAAAUAGUCUUCAAUGACUAAUGUAGUCGCAGGAGGUAGUUGAGAUGCCCCUGGUCUUGAGGUCCAUCCUUUGCGAUUCCUGUAGGCCUCAAUAGCCUGUAACCUUACCCUCUCCUUGGAAGCAUCUAGUAAGGUCUUGGAUCCCUGUAAAAGAACAAACCCCAGUUUGAGAGGAAAAGUACUAGCAUAAUCUUUAAUGUAAAAUAUCAAAUGAUAAAAUAUUACCUUGAGUACUGUAACCAACUUCAAUGGAGCUUCAACCACAUCUCCAAAUUUUAUGUUCUCUCUUCCAGGAAAGUCAAAGUUCUCUUCUGUUCUAGCAGUCUUAUGCUUUUCCUUCUUUGCUUCAAAAUACCUACACACGGAUUAAAACCCGGUCAAUUACAUACAAAAUGUAAGAGCAAUGUAAGAAGGAAAAAUCAUAAUUAUUCGCAAUUCAGCAGAUAAUUUAUCAUUUACAGUGUGGGAUAAUACACUCAGAGCAACAAAGUAUUGUCUACCAUGGUGCCAAACAACAAGGGCAUAGAAUGGUCAUAUAAAAUACUGGCCUUUUUUUUUAUUUUUUAUUUUUACUUUUACAUUUAUGAACCACUCAGAAAAAAUCUGGAUUCCAGCCACAGCCCACAGGCACAUAGCUUCACCUUCCUUUUAGAGCAACAUUUCAUGUUAUGCAAUCAAAUAAAUUUUAUCAAUAUCCACAACAAAAUGUACUAGACUAGAUGUAAUAUCAUCAUAAUUUUUUUGUUCAAUACCAUGCUAAAUGCAGACAGAUGCUACUCCUGAAACCAAUUAAUUGCCAAUUAAGAAAGAUUACUUUUUCUUGCGCUUCCGUCGUUUAGAAGUGCCGCCUAACUUAUCCACUGUUGUUUCAAACCGGAGGUCGGUUACUUGCUUCCUUUUUCUUUUCUUGUUUUUCUUUCCAUCUUCAUUGUUCUGCAUAGUUUCUUCCUCGCUAUCUGAGUGUUGACGCUUAUCUUCACUUCCAUCUUUGAUCUCAUUAGCUUUUAACUUAAUUCCAUCUUUGAUCUCAUUGGCCCUUUGAACAUUCUUAUAAGUGCUCCACCAGUUAAACUUGCCGUUGCCUUUCCAAGUUGAAAUAGAAAUGGUGAUCCCUGACCAUCGGGAGUGUUUGGCUAACACUUGUGCUGCGCAAUAUGAGCUGCUGGCGCAUUUGUGUCAACAAUUAUGACAGCAUCUGAAGACGCAUGAAUAGCAGCUGCAGGCAAAUUGCAGCGUUCAGGUCCUGGGACAGCAUAUGGCUUGACUUCUCUUGGGUUCCGAAAGAUUGUCUGACAUUAAAUGUUAAUAAGAUUCAGUUUUAACAUAUUCAUUUUCACAGAAAAGAUUUUCAUUAUGGAAAGAAACUCAUUAGAUCACAUGAGAAGUAAUUGCAGAUAAAGUUAUAUAACACUGCAUCAAUGUUAAAAACAGAAAGGCCAAAAAAUUGGUACCUGCAAAUGAAGAACCUCUGAAAGUGGCAUCCUGUUCAUGUGAGGGACAGUAAGAAGUUGGGAUGGAGUUUGUCCAAAAUAAGCAAUCUGGUCUUGCGUGGCAUGCUGUUGUACCUUUUAUUUGUAUACAAAUGAAAGACAUUAAAGAAGACUUUCAAAAUAGAACAGAGAUUAGAAAAAAAAAAAUAGCAAAUCAAACUUACUGGAUCAGAGAUCUUAUCAAUAUCAACUGUCCCUUCAUAUGUAAUGUAAAAGAACAUGUUAUUUGCCAAUAUAGCUUCUUUGCCUCGUUGCUUAUACCUGAACAUUCCAAAUCACUCAUGUAAAUCCUGGUAAACUCUAGGUGGCUUUAAACAAGAAUCUCCAUGAGCAAUUAUAUUAUUAAAAAGAAUAUCAUAGUGAAGAUUACAAAGGAAAAGGAAACCGCAAUUUUUUUUAGGAAAGGGGAGAAAGUAAAAGAUACCCAAAUAUGAGGUCAAUCCAUUCAUGCAAAUGUGCAGAUACAUGCCCACUCUCAAGAGCCAUCCAAUGUUUGUGAAUAAAAUCAACUGGGUCUUGAGCCCAUGGUUGGAGUUUGACAGAAUCUGCAUGUGAAAAAAAAUAAGAACUCAAUGCAACUGGAAUUUAUUUCUCAUAAGACAAAGGAAAGAGGAUACUCAGGUACAUACCAAGCUUUCCUCCUAAUUGUGUUGUUCCAAAGUCAAUUGAAUUUUCAUUGGUUAACAUCACAGGAAGGCAAAACAGCUCAGGAACCUAACAUAAACAAAAUAAAAUAAAUGCAAAUGAAAGAAAAAUUUCUAAUAAUCUAUUGAAGUACAAAUGCUGCCAAAAUUUAUAAACAAGAUGAGACAAACAACAAUGACAGGGUACAAGAUAAAAGUGUGCUUCAUUCUUUCCAUAUAGAAGUUUGAAGUUCUCAUGCUAAAGAUAAAACAAAAAACAAUAUCAAUUCCUUCACAUCACUCAUGUCCUCAAGAACUUCAUUCCAAGUAGCGAAAACAUCUGAAAACAACCGGUCUGCGUGAUCAAAUUUUCCACCUUGCAGCUGAAUUGAAAGAGUUGUAAAUGGCUCAACUCUAACAAGAAAAUACAGUACCUGCAAGAAAACACCAGGUACAACAAAGAAGUUAUAAUAAAGAAUCUGAAUUUAUAGUUCAAACUAUGCUAGCAAAAUUCACCUGAUUGACUAAUUGCCACAAAAAUAGAAAUUUGGAUUGAAAACAAUCAAAUAAUUGAACACAAGAAAACUAAGUAAAUGAUUCCAUGGACAGGUGUAAAUAAUGCUGAAAACUAAGUAAACAGUAGUACUACUUUUGAUAUGAAGUAUGCAACCUAGUGAAAUGGCUUUUGAUAUGAGGCAUGCAACCUAGUGAAAUGGCAGAUACAGAAUGCAACAAUAAAUUUCAUGGAACCAGACCAACAUUAAAGGACAUAAAUUAAAGCUUUUAGGCGCACAGCAAGAUGGCAGAUACAGAAUGCAACAACAAUUUCAUGGAACCAGACCAACAUUAAAGGACAUAAACUACAGCUUUUAGGCGCACAGCAAGAACAUGUUGGCCCUAUAAAGGGGAUUACUCAAUGUUGCAGAACACAGUCUGUAAGGCUGACAGAAGAAUAAUAAAUAGAAGAUAGUAGAGUAAGUCAUUUAAUUUUUAAUGACAAUUUACUGAACAGGCAACAAAGACAUGCACAAGUAUACAAAUAUCCCCAGUACAUAUGAGGAAACAAACUAAAGAAGUCAACCCUGUUCAUGAAUUGCAAGUAUACAACAGUGCCCAUAUUUCAAGCAAUUUAGGUAACCACUAUAAAAGUACAAUCACAAAUAUUACACAGAAUAGAAAACCUACAGUUCCAGCACUUGAAUAAUGUGAGCCAUAAUGGAACUUUGGGAUGACUGGAUCAUCGAAGCUAGCAUAUCUCUCUUGGAAUUUCUUCAACCGAUCUGGAUUUAAUGCCCCUACAGGCUGCAAAUACACGUGAAGUUAUAAUGGCAGAAAAGGAAAGUGCAGAUAUAAAAUGCAGCAAGAUUAAAGUCAAACCACCUUUGAAAGAUCUCCGUAAGCUGAAGGAUCAGCAAGAUCCAAAAUCUUUGAACCGUAGUCAGAAAGAAUCCAUGGGAAUACUGGAUACUGUACGUAAAAAAGAAAAGAAGCGACAGAGACAGAAAAUGUAGCUUGGUUAUAUUAUCACAACACUGCCCCCAAAAAAGAGUGAUUAACCAUCAAAAUGCACUCUCAUAAACAAUCUAACUUGAGUUACGUCACUAUAACUACGCCCAGCCAAUGUAUUUAGCUGCAUUAAAUAUUCAAAAUUGCUGAUCUGCAGAGAGGUAUAAUUCUGUCAGUAAUUAUGCUACUUAUUUAUUACAUGUGAAUUAUAUAUAUACUGUAACUCAUACCUCCCACCUAGCCCAGCGCUCCAUUAACUGAGUUCUUUUCAGGAGCUGAUCAGGUCGCUGCAGCAGAAAACAAUAUAAUGUAAGUUCAGGAAUGUCAAUAGGAAAUGAAUCCUUGUAAACAGCUGCUAACAUACUCUCCCUUAGGUACCUUAUAAUGAACCCAAUUUUAUAAACGUAAAAUAUCCAUAAAUUUUCCACUCUUCUCCUUUUAAAUAAAAAAGAUAUUGUCGAUGCGUGUAAAUUCAUGCACGCUAGGCCUCUCUAAUUUAAAAUUUUCCAAGCAAAGUGCAAACCUGAGUUGCAAGAUAAAUGUUGUUCAAAUGAGGAGGUCGUGCUUGAACAAUAGCUCGGUAGGCAUUUCUUCGGCCUUCAGAACUCUGGAUCAAUUAUUAUUUUUUAAUGAAAGAGAAAAAAAGAAACAAAAAAUAAAGCGAACGUUUCAAGUAAGAGGUACAUACAGUGGGUCAACAACCAUCACAAGCAUACCUCUUUUAAUCACAAAGAAAUAAAUUUAGGCGUAUCUAAUAGGAACAUACCCCGAAAUCAAAGAAGAAGUUCGAACGGUCAACCAUAAACAGCUCCAGGGCACUUCUUCUUAGGAGAUAUCUAUGGUCAAGAAAAAACAGCAAAUGAGGUGCAACAGCAGAUGCUAAAGCAAAAGCAAUAUUGGGUGACAAAAAGUUAAAACUCUUCAAAUGCAGCAACAAGAAAUAUCAUGUUAUGGAUUUCUAUGCAGAACAAAUAUCUCUCUACACUCCUGGUAAUAUUAAUAUAAGCAGUAAGCACACAGAGACGAGACCUGAAAUUCACUCUAUAUUUUACUGGAUUUUACAGUCAAAGAACAUCCUGAUCUGUAGGUCAUACCCAACUAUCGCAGUAUAGUGUGGAGACAUUCACAUUAAAAUGUUUAGAAUAUGGAGGAAUUUCUAGACAACUGCAGGUUGUUAAUAGGCACUAUGAGAUGCAGAAAUAAAGGCCCCUAAAAUGCUAGCGGACAUCUUUUUCUCAUUCCAUGUCCUAGGCAAGCGUCUUGUUUCAAAUAUGUGCCUACCUGCAUGUUAAUAUGAAAUCAAGGAUGGUUGGCAGUAUCUAGACAUAUUUUGUCUGACAAUGAUGAUCAAUCCAACUACUUGGAAUGUUAAAUAACAAAGUUGUAGCUGAAAGCCAAUAAGGAUGCUCAAAUUUUUUAAAAGCCGGUAUGAACAAAAAUGAGAUUUUUCAACCAGAAAGAUGGCUCAAGGACGGAGUUUUUCAAUCCGAAUCGCCUUUCAAAUUCAUAUAAUUUCAUGUUCGUAUUGUUUAUUCUUAAUUUUCUUAAUGAAUACAUAUAGUUAUGCAUAUAGUAAUUUGCUAACUUUAAUAAUUUUGCUUUUGGUUUUGGCAUUAUUUCCAGGCGGGUCUUCGAAUGUGUUUAGGCAAGGAAUUUGCUUAUCGACAAAUGAAGAUAUUCGCAAUUGCACUAAUUCACUACUUCCGCUUCAAAUUAGCUUAUGAUACGAAAGAUGCAACUUAUAAAAGUAACAUUCACCAUUCACAUGAAAAGAGGCUUUUAUUUUUAUGCCGUUCUUAGAAUAACUUAACCCACUUCACAAACAUGAAAAAUAAAUUGUUCGUAAGAAAAUGUUCAACACUUGGUGGUUGAAAUAAGAUUAGUUCCAAGUUUGUGUAGCAUAAAAGCUGGAUUAUUUAAAUUCUAGUGGAGUUUGAUUUGCUUCUUUAGUGACAUGUUGAAUUUGUAAUACACUACAUCGAUUUGUGAAUUUAAAACUCGAACCAAGUUGGACUCGUAAUGGGCUUGGAAUUAAGGGUUGGACCAUGGAUCAUGAGUCCUAAUUGCUUAGAUCUUUCUUUAAUUUUCCCGCUGACGUGGAUUUUUUUUUUCCGUUUCUGCUAACACCUGAGCCCUGGCCCGUGGCCCCAUCAAUCACCAAGGCAGCCAUUGUGGUGGUAUGGCGUGCCACGGCUACAAGCAUAGCUAACUUUGAUCUCUUUUUUAUCCUUUACGCCGCGUAGGAAUCAGGAUAUCCUCCCGUAGGAGGAUUGUUUUGGCAGUUAGUUGACACUUGACAGCGAUUGGGACUGGGACCCCAAUCUCGCAACUUGUUAUGGCAACGAUAACUUGUUUCGUUGAAUCUAUGUGAACCAUAUAAAAAUUGUGACAAUUAAUGUGAUUGACAAGACACCGGAAUAAUUAAUAACAUUUGAUGGGAUCAUAGUUUUUCAGGUCUAUAUUUUUUUACAAAUUUAAUUAUUUCAUUUAUAUAUAAUUUUUCAUUUUUAAAAUUAUUAUUCUUCUUUUAUGAUUUUUUUAUCUCAUCAAAUUUCAUUAGAUUAAUUUUUUUAAAAAAAUAAAUUUAAAUGUUAAUAUUUUUAAAUGAUAUACUUUAAAAUACUUUUAUUUUAAAUUUCUUCAAAAUUUUAAAAUUUUUCAUCCAAAAUAUUUUAAAAUCUCCUCUUACCUUAAGACAACAGCAUAUAAAGCCUAUAAAUUGACUAUGUAAUCCUUUUUACCAUUUAAAAAUAAACGACGACUUAAAACAACAAUGCCGAGAGAAUGAAAUGUGCAUGGGGGAAGCCAAAUAGGAAAAUUUUUUGCAAAAUGUUAAGUCAUGCUUAACUUUUGAACUAACAUAAUUGUUAUGGUCAAAAUACAUGUGAAUAUAUAUAUAUAUACACCCAUACACGCUAAUGCUCUCUUUCAUGCUCCAAUUUUAAUUUUUUUGGCCAAACUUCAUUUUUUAAUUAAUUAAUCAUUAACAUUAUCUAUAAUGUACAAUAGAGCAUUAGGAUGGUUAUCUUGAGUAUAUCUUUUGCUUUUGCCGCAUAAUAUAUAUCCAUAUCUAUAAAGUUCAUAUGGUCCUUAUACAUAUAUAGUUAAAUAAUCAUAAUUUUUAUUGACCAAUUGAUAGAAUCUGCAGAAAAUAACAGAGUAGGAAGAGCAGAAAAGGCAAAGAAAGAGAGAGCAGAAAAGAGGGAAAGAUUGAUCAGAGAAUUUUUCUUGUUUGUUUUCAUUCCAUGGGCGUGCUAAAUGGCAUGCUACCAGCUAGUACAAGUAACGGUUUUCCCGGCAACCAUCUAGUUAUUGGUUUUAGUUAUCUAACUUCAUUCCUAUUUGUAACUUCUCAGGUUCAUGUCAGCAAUUUUCUUCCACACACUAAAGGCGAGAAUCCAUCCACACAUUCUCUUCCAAUUCAACAACCGUUCAAUAUGUUAAAGGAUAGUGAUUUCUAUUGUUUUAUACCAAUUUUUUUUUUACUCCGAUGGGUUCAUAAUGGUGCUUUCUCCCAUGUCUUUUCUAGUGUUGAUUGUAAUGCUAAUCCAUUUUAAAAUAAACAACGUGUGGAUUAUGGAGUUUUUGAUGUUGCAUAUUUGGUAUGAUAAUUGUCUAAAAUUUUGAAGCAAGAAAAUAUGGUGAUAGCAAUUUUAUAUGAAAACUCAUAUUGAUUCAAUGGCAACCGUACACGUGUAAAUACUUCGUUUUCCAAUUAAAUGAGAAAGAUCUUGAAGAUCAAACAGAUUGGAUUCUUGUGUAGAUAGAAAAUAAAUGGAACAUAGCUAAUUCAACAUUAUAUAGCUGUAGCUUAUAACCUCUCAGGGUAUUCAUCAGAAAAAAAAAUGGAUAUUCUAUCCACCAUAUUCUUCUUGAUAUUGUUUCCAACACUCAUUCUCUUUCUAAUCUUCUCUUUUCUUGCAAUCAAAAUCUUCACCGGAAAAUCCAUCAAUAAUCCUGACUAUCCACCGGUGAGGGGCAGUGUUUUCAACCAGCUUUUAUAUUUGAAGUAUCUUUAUGACUACCAAACCCAAGCUGCCAAGAAACAGCCUACUUACAGGCUACUUGCUUUUGCACAAAGUGAAGUAUACACGACCGAUACACGAAACGUAGAGCACAUAUUGAAGACCAACUUCGAUAAAUACACGAAGGGUAAAUAUAAUCAAGAAAUUUUGUCAGAUUUUUUGGGACAAGGGAUUUUUGCGGUGGAUGGAGAGAAGUGGAGACAGCAGCGGAAGCUUGCGAGCUUUGAGUUCUCGACAAGAGUUCUUAGAGAUUUUAGUUGCUCUGUUUUCAGAAAAAAUGCCGCCAAACUGGUUAGAGCUAUUUCAGAGCUGGCUGUGUCUGGUCAAGCUUUUGACAUGCAAGUGAGCAAAUUCGAAUCUCAAACUCAAAUGUUAAACUCUAAUUAAUACUCCAUUUUUUCAACAGUCAAAAGAAAAAAAAAAUCUGAAACCUGAAAUCAAAGAAUAUAUUGGAUGAGAAACCAGAUGGUUCAAGAUAGUAAAUGAUUUUAAUCCUAAUAGAACUUAAAAUUUUCGGUUUUUCAUACUCAUGACAUGUCUCCUAUUUGUAGAAUAUAUUAAUGAAAUGCACGCUGGAUUCGAUGUUCAAAGUUGGGUUUGGCAUAGAUUUAAAUUGCAUGGAUGGUUCAAGUAAAGAAGGGAAUAUAUUUAUGAAGGCUUUUGAUGAUGCCAAUGAAAUGGUGUACUGGCGCUAUGUUGACCCUUUUUGGAAGCUCAAAAGGUCCCUUAACAUUGGCUCUGAAGCCGCUCUCAAGAAGAAUAUCAAAGUCAUUGAUAAUUUUGUUGACAAUGUUAUUAGCACCAAGAGGAAACUACAGGCCAUGGAACGAGAUUUGGUAAGUCAUAUUUUGAUAUAAAUUUGUAGUUAAUAUUAUUCUGAUUUAUUUUAUGUAAAUUAAAAAAAAUUCUUUAUGGUCAAAUCUUAUUGUGAUAUGGUGGGAUUUGGGAGUCACAAUAUCCACUAGUUUUCAAUGCGGAAAUCUAAUCAUUAUAUAGCUUUUUUUAUUGUAUUUUUAAAAUCAGUAAUUCUCCUAAAAAUACAUAUAUAAUAUCAAAAUAAAUUAAUCACAAACCUGUUUCCUAAACAUAUAUAAACAUGGGUAGUUUUUAUUUUUUUUUGUUUCUAGAAUGUCAAAGAAGAUAUACUUUCAAGAUUUUUAGUGGAAAGCGAAAAGAAUCCAAAAACAAUGAAUGACAAAUACCUGAGGGAAAUAAUCCUCAACUUCAUAAUUGCCGGCAAAGACACUUCCGCGAGUACUUUGUCUUGGUUCUUCUAUAUGCUCAGCAAGAACCCUUUGAUACAAGAAAAAAUUGCACAAGAAGUGAUGGACAUCACUUGUGGUAAAGUAAAUGAUGACAAUGUUGAUGAUUUCGUUACGACCACAACCGAUGCAAACCUCGAGAAAAUGCACUAUCUUCAUGCUGCAAUAACAGAGACCUUAAGGCUGUACCCUGCAGUCCCCGUUGUAAGUUCCCUGAGAUUUUUAUUUUUUUUUGGUUGCUAAUUUCAAUAUUGAGUUACUUGUCAUACCACUAUAUUAUCCAAACAUUUUCCUUAGCAUUUAUGUAGAAAGUAGUUCUUUGAAACAAGUCCUAGCAUUUUAAUUGCUUCACUACCGGUGCUUCAAGGAUGGAAGAUGUGCAGAGGUGGAUGACAUGCUCCCCGAUGGCCACAAGAUCAAGAAAGGAGAUGGAGUAUACUACAUGGCCUAUGCCAUGGGUAGAAUGACUAACAUUUGGGGAGAAGAUGCUGACGAUUUUCGACCAGAAAGAUGGCUUAACAAUGGAGUUUUCCAGCCUGAAUCGCCUUUCAAAUUCGUAGCAUUUCAUGUUAGUAUUCUUUUUUCUACCAUGCAUGUAAAUAAUUGUCGAUCCAUUUUAAUUUUUUUUUUCUUGGCUGCUGCAUUAUUUCAGGCAGGUCCUCGAAUUUGCUUGGGCAAAGAUUUUGCUUACCGGCAGAUGAAGAUACUUUCAAUCGCCAUUCUUCGCUUCUUUCGCUUAAAAUUAGUUGAUGAUACGAAAAUUGUAAAUUACAGAACAAUGCUCACGCUUCAUAUGAAGGAGGGCCUCCAUCUUUACGCUGUUCCUAGGACAAUUACAUAAUAUUAAUUAUUAAUGUAGUAUUUUGUAAUAUUAUGUAAUUAUAUAUAUGGACACCUAAUUUUAUGAAUUACAAGUUAUAUGAAGGAGGGUCUCCGUUCUCUAAAGAAAUGAUAGACAUAAAAUAUCCUGAAUUUUAAAAUAGUCUAUUUGAUAAUUACCUAUUGAGUUAGUACCUUUGUCAUUUAUUAUUAUUAUUGUAUAUUAUAUUUAUAAGACUCUUUAUAGUAAAAUUUGAUGAAUUCAAAUUUUAAAAUAUUAUAAAUUAUUUAGAUAAUGAUAAAAAUAAAUAAUAUAAAGUUUUUUAGUUCAAUUGACAAUUAUCAAAAUAAAAAUUUUGAAUUCGAGUCUAAUCAAUAAUUAUUUGAUGAGAUUUUUUUAAAUGUACGAUUUUUAAUUAUUUAUUUUAAAAUUUUUAAUAUAAUACAUCUUAUUUUAAUUUAAAAGAUUAGGUAAUCUAUUUACUUUUGAUUUUUUUUUUAAAGAAACUUUUAAAUUUUAUAUUGAUAUGUAUAUUUAAUAAUUGUUUUUACUUUAAUGAAUAUAUAUUUAUUCAUAUAUCUAAGACCUUAUAAAAAUAAUAAAAAUAUCAAAGACCCUAUCAUUAACAAAAUCAUUUAGGGCAAACAAACAAUUGAAAUUGAAGUGAAAAAAAUGGCUUUGCAUGGAUAAACAACUAAAAUUGUAAAGAACUAAAAGUACAAGGAAAAUAAGUAACAAAUAAAUUUUAGGGAAUUAACAUGCAUGGCCAGGAAACUCUUGUUAAAAAUUUGAAAUAUGUAUAAAAAUACAUUGAUAAUAUAUUAAAUAUAAAUUUUAUUAUUAAUUAAUUUUGGAAAUUUAAUAAGUUAUUUUACUAAAAAUUUUCAGCUCUUUUUAUCAUAUAUAAAAUAAUCUUUGUAUGGCUAGCAAAGAGAAAGUUGGCUCUAAUCUAAUGGGAUUAUAUCCUUGUUUAAGUCUUAACUGCUAUUCCUUUUGUUUUGUUUAAUAUAUAAGAGAAAUUAUUUUAUUUGAUACAUUAUCAAUAAAAUUUUUUAAUUUCAUAAGUGAGAUUAAUAUGAUGAUAAUUAUUUUAUUUUUUAAUUAUUUUUUUUAAAUAUCGAUACAUGUCACUCUGUUAACUUUACUUGUGAAAUUAAAAAAAUUAUACUGAUAAUUUAUUUAAUAACUUCUAUGCAUAUAAACUUAAUUUAGGUAAAGAAAUUAUUUGAUGCAAUAAUAAUGAAAUUUUUUAAUUUCAUAAACGGAUUAAGAUGAUAAUACAUAAUUUUUUUAAAAAUAAUUUUUUACUUUUUUAAAUAUACAUUAAAGGACAUGUGUCCAAUUUUAAUCAUAUUUGCAAAGUUAAAAAAUUUUAUUAUCUGUAUAUUUAAUAAUUUUUUAUAAAAAUAUAUAUUUUAUUUUCUAAAAAAAUACCUUUAAUCCAUAAGUCCGCCUAUAGGACAUUAGGUAUGGAUUUUCGAAAGAACCCAACUCGAAUUGUUAUGUUAUUAAUACAAAUAUUUUUAUUUAAAUUUAAUUUUUAAAUAUAUUUUAAAAUAAUUUUUAAUAUUUAAUAUUAUUUCGACUAAUUAACCAGUCUAAUGAAUUCAAUAAUGGGUUGAGCCAGACCUUGGUCCUUGGACAUGGAAUUACAAAAUGUCAACUAAACCUAGACGAGCCCAAUUAGGCCCAUAAAGACCUCUAUGACUCCACGAGUAACUUGAUUCUUUUUAAUUAAUUAAGUCUUGCAAAAAAGGUGGGUCAUUCAAAAUCACAAAAAGAAGUCUUUCAUUUUAGAACAAACUGAAAAAUCCUUCAAAUAUUAAAGUAAAAUUCACGUGAAAGAAAACCGCCCUUUAAUGACUUUAUAUAUCCAUUAUAUCUAUAUCUAUAGCUAUGUAUAUAUAUAUAUAUAUAUUUUUUUUUUUUUUGUGUGUAUUAUUAUAAUAUUAAUACAAUAAGGCUUCGCUGAUCCUUUAACUAACGAACAUUCAUUGGCCAGCUUCCCUGUAAAUACACAAAAAAGGACCUCCAUUUCCGAGCAUUUCUCCAACCCAGUUACCUUGGCAGCUUUGGUUCUGAUCCUUUCUCUUUUCUCUGUCAAGUUCUUCACAGCAAAACUGAGAGACAAGCGGAGAAAGAACAAGUACCAUCCUGUUGGGGGUACGGUUUUUACCCAACUCCUCAACUUCAAUAGAUUGCAUCUUAUAUGACUGAUCUUGCAGGGAAGCAUAGAACCUACAGGCUGCUUACCCAUUUCAGGAAUGAGAUUUAUACCUCGGAACCAGCCAACGUUGAAUAUAUACUCAAAACAAACUUCGAGAAUUAUGGCAAGG
rnacentral:lncRNA from 1 species